UCCCUCUUAGCUCAGUUGGUAGAGCGCGUCACUAGUAUUUUCUCCUAGAAGAGGUGUUAAAUGACGAGGUCAGUCGUUCAAAUCGGCUAGCGGGAA